rnacentral:rRNA from 1 species
GAUGAACGCUGGCGGCGUGCCUAAUACAUGCAAGUCGAGCGAACAGACGAGGAGCUUGCUCCUCUGACGUUAGCGGCGGACGGGUGAGUAACACGUGGAUAACCUACCUAUAAGACUGGGAUAACUUCGGGAAACCGGAGCUAAUACCGGAUAAUAUAUUGAACCGCAUGGUUCAAUAUUGAAAGACGGUUUUGCUGUCACUUAUAGAUGGAUCCGCGCCGCAUUAGCUAGUUGGUAAGGUAACGGCUUACCAAGGCAACGAUGCGUAGCCGACCUGAGAGGGUGAUCGGCCACACUGGAACUGAGACACGGUCCAGACUCCUACGGGAGGCAGCAGUAGGGAAUCUUCCGCAAAGGGCGAAAGCCUGACGGAGCAACGCCGCGUGAGUGAUGAAGGUCUUCGGAUCGUAAAACUCUGUUAUUAGGGAAGAACAAAUGUGUAAGUAACUAUGCACGUCUUGACGGUACCUAAUCAGAAAGCCACGGCUAACUACGUG